CAAUGUGGUUGCAGACAAGAACACUGCAAAGCAAAGCUGUUACGAUCGUUGGAAUGAAAAUCCUGCCACCAAUGAAAUUCACCAGACCCAAAACAGGAUGAUGCAUAGAGGAUGGGAAAACCAACUAAAUUCUGCAGAGGAUAUCCGGGGAUUUUCAAAUAACUAUGUUUUGACUGAAGCCCAUUGUUGAUCAUUUUACCCAGAAGAGUUGGGAAGACCGUGAAGGUGUUCAGGUUUAGGCUACUAGUAGUUUACUGGAGACGUACUAACCAGGGAUUGAAACCAGGGCCUUCCCACUGUGCUACAUCCCCUGCCUUUUUUAUUUGCAGGGUCUCGGCGAGUUACCCAGGCUGGGCUCAAAUUUGUGAUCUUCCUCAGCCUCAAGUAUUGGGAUAACAGGCAUGCAUAGACACCUAUUUUUAAAGAUAUUGGUGGGUUUUUUCUAGAACAUUCAUAGAGUUUGCAUAGGACAUCUUUUUAAAUGUAUUUUGAUAACCUAAAUCAACAUCCAAGGGUUUCACCUUCCCCGAGACACUGUUUCUAGAGAGGACGCGAUCUCUUGAACCCGGAAGCUGCGGGUGAACCCCGCCUUGUCCCGGCCAGUGGGCGGAGACCUGCGACUCCGGCGGGCUGUGGGAACUACAAUUCCCAGCGGCCCUGGCAGACACUGGCCGCGGCCUCAACGCGCCUGCGUACUGGCGGAACCUCCGGCUGCGUAGUUCCCGCCAAUUCUUCCAGUGAUCCUGACUAGGAGUUCCGCUGUAAUGGAGUCGUUUGAUCCCGCCGAGCUGCCAGAGCUGCUCAAACUGUAUUACCGGAGGCUCUUUCCCUACGCCCAGUACUAUCGCUGGCUCAACUACGGCGGAGUGGUAAAGAAUUACUUUCAAAACCGUGAAUUUUCAUUCACAUUGAAAGAUGAUAUUUACAUUCGCUACCAAUCCUUCAACAGUCAGAGUGAUCUGGAAAAGGAAAUGCAGAAAAUGAAUCCAUACAAGAUUGAUAUAGGUGCAGUAUAUUCCCACAGACCCAGUCAACACAAUGCAGUGAAGCUGGGAGCCUUCCAGGCUCAGGAAAAAGAACUGGUAUUUGACAUUGACAUGACAGACUAUGAUGAUGUGAGGAGAUGCUGUAGCUCCGCAGACAUAUGCUCCAAGUGCUGGACCCUCAUGACAAUGGCCAUACACAUCAUUGACCGAGCACUGAAGGAGGACUUUGGGUUUAAGCAUCGUCUCUGGGUUUAUUCUGGAAGGAGAGGCGUUCAUUGUUGGGUCUGUGAUGAAUCAGUUAGAAAAUUGUCCUCUGGAGUACGUUCUGGGAUAGUUGAAUAUUUGAGCCUUGUAAAGGGUGGCCAGGACGUUAAAAAGAAAGUUCACCUAAGUGAAAAAAUUCACCCUUUUGUCAGAAGAUCUAUAAACAUAAUUAAAAAAUACUUUGAAGAAUAUGCCUUGGUUGAUCAAGAUAUUCUUGAAAAUAAAGAAAGCUGGGAUAAGAUUUUAGCCCUUCUUCCUGGGACAAUUCAUGAAGAACUUCAACCAUACUUCCAGAAGUCUCAUAAUUCACUUCAGCGUUGGGAGCAUCUGAAAAGAAUAACCAGCACGAGUCAGAAUAUCAAAAACGAUAAAUGUGGACCCUGGCUGGAGUGGGAGAUUAUGCUGCAAUACUGUUUUCCACGGCUGGAUAUUAAUGUUAGCAAAGGAAUCAAUCAUUUACUGAAGAGCCCUUUUAGUGUUCAUCCUAAAACAGGUCGCAUUUCUGUGCCUAUUGAUUUACAGAAAGUGGAUCAAUUUGAUCCCUUUACUGUUCCAACAAUAAGCUCCAUUUGCUGUGAAUUGGAUGUCAUUUCCACUAAUGAGAACAAAAAAGAGGAGAAUGAAGCUGAAGCUGAUAUCAAACACAGAACCAGAGGCAAAUAUUUGUUUCCAUAUUUGUCUUCCCCUACUAGUGUACCAAACCUCAGAUCAUUUGCCCUGAAGAAAACUUAUAGAUACCUGUGGAGGCUGCUGUGACUGCUGACCUGCACCUCAAGACCAACAGCAACUCCAUCUUAUCCUGAAGAUUAUAAGAAGACCAGUCUAGCACCUUAUGUGAAAGUAUUCGAACAGUUUCUUGAAAACUUGGAUAAAUCCCGAAAAGGAGAACUUCUCAAGAACAGCGAUUUACAAAAAGAUUUCUAAAGAUAACAACUCCUCUCAAACCAGUGUGGAUAUCAUCUACAUUCAACCAAGGAUCAAAUAUGUCAAGACAUAUAAUAAACAUGGCAGAAGGAUGUAUGCAUCUUAAUGCUUAAAGCAGAA